GCCAAAUCUAACCACACUGACAGUUCCCAGUCAGGCAGCUGCACCAGCAGGAGUGACAACCAUCUCGAUGGAAGAAAUUACUCUGAUCAUGGCUUGGGGUUCCUGAAAAAUGCUCCCAUCCUGAUAACCUAGAACUACAGAUGAUGCUGUGAGAAAGGAUGGAAAGAAGGUGGCAAAACCCACAGUAAAUGAAAAAAAUUAAACCAGCAACUAUGCACCCCAAUCUUGCCAGAAGUGGGCCAAGAAUGUCUGAAGGUGCAUGAAGGUAGGAAGAUGCAAGAAGAGCACCGAGCAGCAUGACCUCCUAAGGAGACAGUGGCCUAAUGCAAGAUCGCACCUAUAGGGAAAGAAGAGGAAUACGAAGAAACAAGAUCAAGGGACACACCUCUUCAUCAGGGUGUCCAUAGAGGUCUGGUUAGGAAAUAGAGCCCAGGAGAAAACUCAUAGCAAUCACCAGGAAGAUGACCAUGUGUGGCAGAGGCAGAGACUGGGACUCAGCUGCAAACCAAGGAACGUGAAGAAUGUUAUCAGAUGGCCACCAUCAGGCUAGGAAAAGGCAAGAAAGGAUUCUACCCAGAGUCUCAGAGGACUAUGCUCUACUGACACCUUGAUUUUGGAAUUCUUGCCUCCAACUG